rfam:Virgibacillus pantothenticus strain DSM 26 super9, whole genome shotgun sequence.
AUGUUUCACUAGGGGAGCAAUUUUAUUGCUGAGAAAGGAAACUUGACCCUUUGAACCUGAUCUAGUUUACACUAGCGUAGGGAAGUGAUGACUUGCAACA